UGAUGGAUGAGAUUCAAAUCUCACCAACACUUGAUUAUGAUGCGUCAACCGGAAGCAUUAUAGGGCAGCCAACAAUAGGGCCAUCAAACGCAGCUACCAAAGAGGCACUUGCUACCCAUGCACUCGUGUUCAUGUUGGCGGGCAUCACAAGUUGCUGAAAGCAAGCAGUUGCUUACCAUUUCACGUCCUCCUGCUUUGAUGCCGAGCA
rnacentral:lncRNA from 1 species